UAUGUGGCCUGAAACAGAAUGGCUAAACCAUAAAAUGUACUUAUUAUUUUUACUAUCAGUUUUGUUUCAUGAGAUAUAGUCUAUGAGUGACCACGUAAGUCUCAGAAGCUCACUUUCUCAUUUUCAAAGUAGAGCAUUAACAAAAUUUUCAAAUAUUUUCUUCUUUGGUGGUAGAGCAUAGUUAGUAGUUGCUCUCACCAUUUAAAGUCUCCCAACACUGAAAAACAAUUAUUAAGAGUUCUCUUUUCCAAAGUAAGUAAACAAUCUCAAGUCUUUAACCCUCAGGGCUAACAUUUUUCAUUUUAUUCUGAGUCAGACCCUGGCCUCAUGAAGAGGACAAGAGCUGGUUCUGCUGUUAUUGAUGAAUACAAUCAAACACACAAUUCCCAAAUUACUAUGUCUUCUUUGCCUUGUGGAUGGGCUAAGGUUAGAAUAUUCAGAGACAAAAGAAGCAGACUCAAGAUGUACCCUGGGGAAUCCAUACAUGUGGAAAAAGGAAUGAGCAACAGACAGCAAGGCAAAUCCAGAGAAGAGUUUAAAGGACUUAAUAUAAAACUAGAAUAUUUUGCGUGUAAUUUUGGUGCAGUGUGGCCUGCCUGAAGCUCGCCUUCAGAUUAAGAAACUUUGCCCUGAGAAGAGCUAAUAGGUUUUCCCCUCCUCAGUGUGGACCCUUCAAGGCAGAGUUCUCCUGUGCAUAAAAGGUAAAAUGAAGUUCUCAAGGACACAGAAUAAAUGAUCCCAGUAGGGGUUAUUAAUGGUCCUA
rnacentral:lncRNA from 12 species